rnacentral:tRNA from 1 species
AGGGAGAUAGUUCAGUUGGUAGAGCAGUGGUUUCCAAAACCAAAGGUCAAGGGUUCGAACCCCUUUUUUCCUG